rnacentral:rRNA from 1 species
UCGCGGCGGCGCGCGCAGAAGGGUCUGGGCUCGAGCCUGCCUGGAGCCGCCGCCGGUGCAGAUCUUGGUGGUAGUAGCAAAUACUCCAGCGAGGCCCUGGAGGACUGAUGUGGAGAAGGGUUUCGUGUGAACAGCCGUUGCACACGAGUCAGUCGAUCCUAAGCCCUAGGAGAAAUCCGACGCCUACGGCGACGGGAUUUUUUAAAAAAUUGAAAUCGACCCGUUGAUCGGGCGAAAGGGAAUCCGGUUCCUAUUCCGGAACCCGGCAGCGGAACCGCUGUUUGUCGGGCCCUCACAAGGGGUUCGUCAGGGUAACCUAAAAGGGCCCGGAGACGCCGUCGGGAGCCCCGGAAAGAGUUUUCUUUUCUGCAUGAGCGUUCGAGUUCCCUGGAAUCCUCUCGCAGGGAGAUAGGGUUUGGAACGCGAAGAGCACCGCAGUUGCGGCGGUGCCCGGGAAUUCCCGACGGACCUUGAAAAUCCGGGAGAGGGCCACGUGGAGGUGUCGCGCCGGCUCGUACCCAUAUCCGCAGCAGGUCUCCAAGGUGAAGAGCCUCU